rnacentral:rRNA from 1 species
GAUGAACGCUGGCGGCGUGCCUAAUACAUGCAAGUCGAGCGAACGGACGAGAAGCUUGCUUUUCUGAUGUUAGCGGCGGACGGGUGAGUAACACGUGGAUAACCUACCUAUAAGACUGGGAUAACUUCGGGAAACCGGAGCUAAUACCGGAUAAUAUUUUGAACCGCAUGGUUCAAAAGUGAAAGACGGUCUUGCUGUCACUUAUAGAUGGAUCCGCGCUGCAUUAGCUAGUUGGUAAGGUAACGGCUUACCAAGGCAACGAUGCAUAGCCGACCUGAGAGGGUGAGCGGCCACACUGGAACUGAGACACGGUCCAGACUCCUACGGGAGGCAGCAGUAGGGAAUCUUCCGCAAUGGGCGAAAGCCUGACGGAGCAACGCCGCGUGAGUGAUGAAGGUCUUCGGAUCGUAAAACUCUGUUAUUAGGGAAGAACAUAUGUGUAAGUAACUGUGCACAUCUUGACGGUACCUAAUCAGAAAGCCACGGCUAACUACGU